CUGGACAAAGAUGGAACCAGAGAAGGACACGCGCCUGUCCUCAGCUCUCUAACUGCUCUCAGUGCUGUACAUGACAGAUAAGUCAGACACAAACAGGACCUUUCUAGGUCCUAAGAGGCCCUGGCUGCCCCCCAAGUUCCACCUGCCCUCACCACCAACAUUUUAGACUCCUUUGUUCAGCCCUGGCUCCACUGCAGGUGCCGGCACGGGACCUGCUGAUUGCCAUGCCCCUUUCCACUCACAGGCACGGAAAUGGCUGGCAGACCAGCAACCUGGUGAGCAGGGGCCAUGCAGGGGAGGGCAGCACAGGGAAGCAGGGCAGGCGGCUGCUCCUUUCUUCCUUCCCACCUGCCUUGCAGAUGGACAGCCCAACAUAAUGCCACCAGAUGACCAGAAGUCCCAGAGGUGCUGGCACCUCACCUCCUGACUGCAGUGGCCGUGUCAACGUGGCAUAGCUGACACAAUGACCCCAAAUGGCCAAGGAAACCAUUGUCAGACCAGCUACCUGGUGAGCAGGGCCAUGCCUGGGAGGGCAACACAGGGAAGCAGGGCAGGCGGCUGCUCCUUUCUUCCUUCCCAUCUGCCUUGCAGAUGGACAUCUGGACAAAGAUGGAACCAGACCACCACAGCCAGGACGGAAGAAGAAGCUAAAGAUGAAUGGAUGGGCCAAAUUGAGAAACACCAGAGACACCACAUCCAGAAGAGAAGGCAAGCACCGUAACCGAGUGUGCUGCUCAGACCAGGGACGAAAGUUUAGGAGCAAUGAAGACCGUCAGCCUUCCUCCCUCGACCCUCAGAUGACCACCGAGAAGCUAUCGCAGAAUUAAAAAAAAAAUUUAAAACCUUCAAAAUAAACUUUCUGAUUCAUUAAA